UUAGAAGGUAUUUAAGCAUUUUUACAAAUUUUGUAAAAUUCCCUUGGAAAAAUUUUAGUUACCCCUCUUGCUACUUAAAUAGGAUUACAGUCCUGGGGUAAUUCAUGCUUUUCCUUUGGGUUUGGGCUUCAGAAUUAUUAAGUAUACUCGCAUUACUUUGGUAUGUCUUAAAGUCAAUGGAAAUUUCUGUAUAUAUUGUUUCACACAGCUCAAGAGUUGACAUACCUGAAAUGAAAUUCAUCUCUCAAGCCCUGUGAUCUGUCUCAGCCCAUGGUCCACCAUAUAGCCUCCUCCUGACUCCUGCAUCCUGCACCAGACCUGAUCCAGAGUUGCCAGUGUCCUGGGAAGAGCAGUUCCCACCACCACACCCUAUCAGGAGCGCAUUCUGAGGAUGGAUUCUUCCUUCUGUUCUUCCUUUUGCCAACCCUCCAUCCACUUUCUGAAUUCCAGAAAGUAGCAGAACUCACAAGUCCAUUUCCAUUCUCUUUUUUAUUAUUGAUUUAUUCUUUGAUUUUUCUUUGUAUCUCUAGGCAGAGAAAAACAGGUAUCUACUCAUUCUGCAAUUCUAAACUGAAAUUUAAUGGAUUCUUAAGGUUCUUCAAACAUCUGUUUCAUAUAAAUAAUCUACCUGGGACACUUCUUAUUAUGAAGAGAGUGUAGCCCAGUGCUUCAGAGCAGGUCUCCUGAGCUAGACUAACUGAUAGAUCAACUAUCCCGAGAGACUUUGGAUAUGUUACUUACAUUCAUGUGUAUUUCAGUUUUCCAUUCUAUACCAAAAGAAAAGUGCCUCAUGGAAUUGUCUGAACAGUAAAUGAUUUAAAAUGUACUUAGGACAGCAACUGGCACAGAAUUUUAUAUAUAUAUCCUUUUGAAUUUCUUGUCUCAUAUCUGGUACAGUGUUCCCUAAACACAAAGUUAAAGAAAUAAUUUUUUUCUGCUUAGAAAUCAAACAGGUUCAUGGGUGACUGUUUUUGCACCUAAGUAGGUAGUUAAUAAAAAUAAAUUUGUUAGGGCCGGGGAUUUAGUUCACUGGUUCCUGUACCUGCCUCGUAAGCGCAAGGUCUCAAGUUCGAUCCCCGGUACCAAAAAUAAAUAAAUAAAUUUGUCAAUACAUUUGAAUCACUGUGAAGACACUUAGGCAUCUUAGUAACAACUGAAAUUACCAUCCAUCCAACUCCUAGAAGCAAGAGAGAGAACCUGGGAAAGGAAACAGCCAAUGAAACAAAUUUUAAAUGUUUGUUUCCUUUUAUUUUUAUUAUUUCAUUCUCACAUUUCAGUCAAAGCAUGAGGAAAAUAACUUUAAAUCUCAACAAACAGACUUGAAUAAAACAUUCCAUGAAAGAUAUACGUCUAACAAAAUUUUUUUUAAACCUGUUGAUUUUAUUUUUUUAUAAAUCAUAAAGCUUUUAUUACUUGUUCCUUUAAGAUUUAGCACAUAGUAAACAUUGUCUCAUCUCAAAUGUUUUCACUUCCAAAAGAAUCAACACUCAGCUUGAAUUUUUCUAAGAUAAAUACCAUUAACUUUGCUUUAAAGAAAAUAAGGAUAGCCCACAGGAGCAAAGAGUAUAUCACCUCCUAAAAAUUGAGGAAAGAGCCAGGCAUGGUGGCUCACGCCUUUAAUGCCAGCACUCUGGAGGCUGAGGCAGAAGGAUAGCCAGGAAUUCGAGGCCAGCCUGGGCUACAUAGUGAAUUCAAGACCAGCGUAAACUACAGAGUGAAACCUUGUCUUAAAAAAAAAAACCAGUGCUGUAAAAACUUACAUCUAUCAUAAUUCAGUCAUUUGUUACCACAGUGUCAGAAAAUAGUGUUGAAAAGCAUAUUGUAAGAGUCACCUUUCCAUCACUGAGAUAAAAUAUCUGACUAUAUAACUUAAAGCAGAAAGGAUUUGAGUCAAGGUUUCAGAGAUUUCAGCAUUAAACCAUCGGUGACUACAGUGCUCCCAUGAUUUAAAAGCCCCACCUCUGAACACCUCUGAGCCUCUUGGGGGACAUUUUUUGAUCCAAAUAACAACACACGUUCCUUGAAGAGUUCUUUUUUUUAGAUUUUUAAAUUUUGAAACAAUCUCAAACUUACAUAAAAGUUGCAAGAACAGUACAAAAAAACCCACUUUUUCAACCUUUUAGGUAUAAGUUGCCAAGAUGAUGUUCCGUAUGUCCCAUACCCCUUAGAUCCCAACUCCUUUCUGAGGGCUGACUCCUGCACAUAACACCCUUCCCCAAGCUGACCCUCCUGCUGGGCUGCAUAUCCUGUAUACCACUGUCUCUAGGGCCACUGCAGGGCAUGCUCCCCACCUUUCAGGGAUGCACUGCUUUGCCCUGCAUGCCUCCCCAUGCAGGCACCUGCAUAUACUCCUAGGGUCCUCCUCACACAUCCUCCUUACAGGCUCAGGCUCUGAUACUACAACAGGCUCAGUGGCUGAACUUUUCAGGGAAAGGAGGAAAGGGAAGGACUUUAAAUAGAUCUGAGAAAUACAGUUCAGGAUUUGUCUAAAUAUGAAUUGUUAGCAGGUAAGACUUGGAGCCAGUGGGUGACUUAAAAUCAUUUUACAAAGAAGAAUCACAAACCUUAAAACAAAAUACAUUUCAGUGUAUAUUGUGAUCCACGGGAAUAUUUUUGGGUAUUAAAAUGAAUCAUCAUAUUUGAAUCCUGGGAGGUGUUCCUGAGGACUGAACCAAAGACUUCACACAUGUUAGGCAAGUACACUACCAUUGAACUGUAUCUCUAGCUCUUUUUAUGUUAUUUCGGUUUUUGCUUGUUCAUUUUUUUUGAGACAGGGUCUGCUUGUAUAGUUAAACUCAUAGCAAUCCUCCGGCCUCAGCCUCCCAAGUGCUAGGAUUAUAGAUGUGCACCACCAUGCCAGGCUUUUAUUUCAUUUUUAAAUCUUGAGAUAGGAUCUCACUAAAUUGCCUAGGGUAGCCUGGAACUUGCAGUCCUCCUGCCUCAGCCUCCCAAGUAGCUCAGAUUAUAGGCAUGUCACAUGCUUGGUUUGACUAUGAUUAUUAAAAACACAUGGAGAAUGCAGUGUUUUAAACAUUUUGUGUAUAUACAUAAAAAUUUUUUUGUUUUUAAUAGCAAAGCAUUCACCUGCCUCAAAAGUGCAAGGUCCUGAGUUCAAUCCCUGGUUACCCCCCCCAAAAGAAGGUAAUAAAGCAAAACAUUUAUUGGUACAUUUUAGGUAUACAUAAUGGUAAUGCUUAUCAUAGGGAAUUUGCACCUGUACAUGGUAUAUCUUGCCCCUUUUUGCCCAUCCUCCCCUCUCCUCAGGCCCCUUUUCCUCCCUAUGUACAAAAGCUUUGUUUCCAUUUUAAAAAUAAUUUUCAAUCUACCUUGCUGACACUGGAAAAUGAAAUCCGAAAAUUAUUGCAUAAAGCAUUUAAAAUAGACAUUAGUCUUCUUGUGAUUUUAUAACAACUAAUUCAUUCCUCUGUCUCUUCCUACAUGGGCUGUUGCAGUAGCCACCUUCCUGUUCUCUAUUUUCACUCUUGCCCCUGCUUCAGGCUCAUUCUGCUUUUUGCAUGGGAGCUAAAAUGAUCUAUUAAACAUUUAAAUCAGGUCAUAUCUUUUUUUUAUUUGAAUAGAGAUUUCUAGUUUCUGCUUGGGAUAUAAAUAACCAGAAAGGGUCCUUUUUACCCUCAAAAAAAGAAAACCUGAAUGAACUGCAAGUUCACAAUUUUUCUAGAACUCAUCAAGGAGCUGAGGUCUUUAACCAAUUAGCCUGAAACCUAGGGAGAAACAGCUGCCUACUACCAGAGACAGACUACAAGCUCAUACUCACUUCAGAUAAAAGCAGCUAAAAAGAAUAAACAUUUCCCCUCCUUUCUGAUCUCUGGGUGUUCUCUGCAUGUUAUAACAUCUGCUAUGUAUUGAUGUAGUCAUUUGUAUAGGGCAAGUUCUAAGCAAGUUUGGUCUCACAAGUUUAAUGUGCACUAUCUGAAUAUUCAGUAGUUAAGUACAGAAACAUCUCAGUGAGGGACUGUUGCGUUCUGAAAAAUAACUUUAGUAAUUAAAGUUUAAUCAUACUCUUCCCUGCUUUAUUAAAUAGAGUAUACGUAUUGUUAGGUUUUUACGAGUUAGAAGGUCACACUUAAUCUCACUUGCUAAAUACCAUAAGAAAACCUUUUAUUCAUUUAAUAGCUAGAAAUGCUGUUCUAGGUAUUCUCUUCCCUCUGGAAAGCCUAAAAGCCAUCGUCCCCAGUGGCACAGUGCCUGCUGGGAAAGCCACUUUUUGAAAAAAUCAAGGGAAGGGUCUGGUUACUAUAGCUCUGGAUAGAAGAGACCGGUAAAUGGAGCAUGGGCAGGAACCUGUCUAGCUCCCUUUCAGAUCACAUAUGCAUACUUGCCCACCUACUCUCCCAAGGAUCCCUUAACCUAUGAUUUCACUUUUGGGGUUUGAGUAACCUGCAGUCCAAAAAUAUUAAAUAGAAAAUUCCAGGAAUAAACAACUUAUAAUUUUUAAAUUGUGUGCCCUUCAGAAUAGCAAGAUUAACAUUUUUUGCUGUCCCACCCAAUCCCACCCAGGAUGUGAAUCAUGCCUACAAUGAAUCCAUGCUGUAUAUGCUACCCAUCUGUUAGUUGCUUUGUACCUCUCUCAGGUACCGGAUUCACUGUUGCAGUAUUGCAGUGUUUGUGUUCAACUGACCUGCAUUUUACUUAAUAAUAGCCCCAAAGUCCAAGAAUAAUACCAAAAACUUUAUUACAGUAUAAGUGCCCUAUUGUUAUUUUUUAAAAUUUCUUACUGUGCCUAAUUUAUCAAUUAAAUUUUAUCAUGGAUUUGUAGAGGAAAAAUAUAUAAACAAUAUAUUAUACAUAAUAAUGUAUAUAAAACAUUGCUUGUCAUAUAUAUAACUAUACUAGACAGUAUAUAUAGGUCUGGUACUACACAAGGUUUCAGACAUCCACUGGGGAUUCUUGGAAUGCAUCCCCCUAAGAAAAAGGAGGGCUACUAUGUAGCUGGGGGGCUACAUACCUACUAAACUCAGGACAAUGCGUGACCAUCCUGGUAUAAUGCUUUUCUAGAAUUUUGUAUGUUAUUGCACCAUGAGUUCUUGAUUUAUAAAGAUCUCUCAGGAUCUUAGGUUCUCUAGAAUCUGUUGAGGGCUCCAAUAAAUUCACUUUGAAUUUAGAGAGUCCAGUAUGGUGACUCAUGCCUAUAGUCCCAGCAGUCAGGAGACUGAGGCAGGAGGAUCAUCAUGAGUUGGAGGCCAGCCUGGGCUACAUAGUGAGUUUGAGGCCAGCCUGAACUACAUAGUGAGACCCUGUCUCAAAAAACAAAAGAAAAGAAAAAGAAAAUCAAAUGUGAGACAAAAUUUUGUGUAUUUUUAUAUUUGAUUUUUGUGUAGAGAAGAAUGAAAACUUUUAACUGGAUUUGUAGAAGGAGAUGACUGAGAUGUUACCCCUCUGAUUCUUAAUAAAAUAUAUUUGUUUCUUUUCUAUAAAA